UUAAAAUUUUAGACAGAAAUCCCUAACCCCUUCCCUUCCCUCCUCCCUUUUUUCCCCAAAUUGAAAACCCAUCUACAGUCCCCACCGAUCCACCAUCCCACCUCCGGUCUCCGGCCCUCCAGCACUCCACCUCCACUCCACGACACUAGGUGGCUGUUCUCUUCACUUCGAUUCUUCUGCAACUUCCGAGUCCGACCCAAACCCUUCAAAUCAACAAGUUCAAGCCUUCAAGGUAACUUCUUUCUAUUCUUCUUCACUUUAGUUUUCAUUUUAAUCAUGUAUUUAAGAUUUAAGAGAAGGCUACUCUUUAUUGCUGAGUUUAGUGACGGUGACAUGCUUCGAUUUUUAAUAUAUUGUUGCCAUGUUCUCUUUGAACUUUGAAGUUUGAAGUCAUUUGCUAGUGCUUUUCAUUUUCCAGAUUUUGAAGUCAUUUUAAUAUAUUUGAAGUCAUUUUGAAGGUAAUUCGUUUUCCAGACUUUGGCAUGUCAUUUUCCAGAUUUUGGCAUGUCAUUUUCCAGAUUUUAUUUUAUUUCCAAAAAAACUGUUUACAUGUAUGAGUAGUAAAUACUUCUUGUCAUCCAUUUUCUUGGUCAACAAACGGGAAUUUGAUCUUAAAGAUCCUUAAGAUUAAAAUACGAAUGAAGUUAGGUUUACAUGGUCAUGUUUUUGCAAAGUCAAAUUUUCAUCUGCUUUUCUUUUUGGUUUGAUCUGUUUUUUUGGUUGGUGAGAAAGUGAAUGAAAAGUUGCUGAAAAUGAAUUGAAUUGAAUUUGUUGGUUGAUGUAAAAUGAAUUGAAAAUGAACAGUGGCGGGGUUUUGUUUUUCGUAGAGUUUCGGUUAGUAAAAAUACAUUUUGUAAGCUCAUGGGAUCAAUAUCUAUAAUUAAUAUUAUGUGUAAUAUUGAUAUUUCUUGUGAAUUUACAGAUCAUAUCUCUAUUGGUCGAGGUAUUCCUUAAAUUUAGUGAACCUAAUGAGCUCUCGAGCACUGUUUUAAAUUCUCUUACUACAACACUGUUUUAAAUUCUCUAAUAAGGAGCCUAUCUACAUUUAUAUCCAUAUGUUAUUUCUUCUUGUAUGAAAACAGACCAAGCAAGUUUUAAUGAACAUAAGAGAAAUAGGACUUUGAUAAUGAAAUGAUUUUGAUACGUCUAAGAACAUGUUCACUACAGUUUUGGUAUUAUUUGACAGUUUUUUGCAGCUUAAAACUUAAAAGCAAUAGCAGUGCUUAUUGCCCAAUGAUAAUAUGCUGCUAGUCCUUAUUACUUGUAUAAUCAUUUUUAUUUUUAUUCUCUUUUUUUAAGAAUUGAUUGUUAGUUUGUUACCUAAAUGUCACAAAUGUGUAAUUAUAGACAAUUAAAUAACAUUUAAAUUCAAUUAGUUGGUAAGCUUUUAAACUUACAGUGUAUUAGUUUAGUGUAAUACUACAUCAAUUCUAACAUAAAGUUUAUAGAUAACAUGAUGAAAGCUAUUAUUUUAAAUUUUUUUCAUUAUAUACAAAAAAAUAUAAUUUGAUAUUUGAUAUAACUUUAAUAAAAAUUAGUUUUAACUUUUAAGUAAAAAAAAAAACGGCCAGGCCCGGGCUUCAUAUUUUUUCCACGGGCCGGGCCGGGCGGGGCUACAUCUCAGGCCCAUAUUUCGGGCCGGGCCCGGGCCUAGUAAACGGGCCAAAAUUUUUUCUGGGCCCGGCCCGGCCCAUGAGCACCUCUACUUCGUGCCUACUUAUGCCGCAAUUACUAGACCCACGUUCUCAAUGUCCCCUACAACAACCCCCUCUCUAUAUGCUCCUAGAUUAUCAUUAUAAAAGAAAAUUUUGACAAACUAAGAAUUUUUUUAUUCUUUACAUUCUUUUAUUAUUUCUAAUUUCUAAUACGUGCUUUAAUAUAUUUUAAAUUUAUAAUUUAUUACUUUCUUGAAUUAAUACAAAGAAAAAACGAUAAAAAUGAAAAAGGCUAGGAAAAAUUCCAAAAAUCAAAACAGAUACAUGGGUAAGGAAUAAAAUUAUAAUUCAUGUAGAUCAUAUAUAGUUUUGAAUUGAUGGAGAAUUGAUUACAUCAUAAGAUAAUUCAAAGAAAUUUCCAUAUUAAUUUCUAAAUAGAAGUAAACACACCGGUAUCUAUUAGCUUUUUUAUGCUCUUCCUGCAACUAAUCAUUUAUCUUAACCUUUGUUCUUCCAAAAUUUUAUCUUUUUCAACUGGAUUUUAUUAGGAAUGUUAAAACCUAGUAACGGUGGAAUAUUUUGAGACUCUAGUUCUUUUUGUUGUUGAAAGUAGGGUAAAGAUUGUUGGUUAUCUUUGGGAAGCAUGUGUUCUGAUAGAAGAAGAUACGGAUGACAUAAUAGCUUGCUAGCAUUCCACCUUUUGUUUGGAUUCAUAGUAAAACAUUCUCUCAAGAAACUCUUUCCUAGCUUUGACAUGUCCUCCAGUAUGUUGGGUGAUUCUCCCAUCAAUAGCUUGUCUCUUAAAUCAUCUCGAUCAUGAGUGUCCCAUGGCAAUCUCCCUGUAAUUAUUUCAACCACAAUGCAACCCAACGACUAUAUAUCCAAUGCACCACUAACUUUCCCAACAACCAAUUCAGGAGACAUGUAAUACCUUGUACCUCGAAACCCAAACCUUGUAUCUUUUACCCCUUGUUGUUUAGCUAACCUAAAAUCGACAAUCUUUAGAGUAGGUAAAUGGGUACCAUGUUGAGGAAGGAAAGCCAGAAUAUUACCUAGUUCUCGAUCAGAGUGAAUGAAUCCUUUUCUCAUGAACAUCCAAAAGUCCUUCCAAUAUCAUUUGGGUAUAACAGUUAACAUCCUUUUCUGGAAUUUUACCACCAUACUUGUUCAUCAUGUCUAACAAACUACCUCCUGGAGCAUAUUCAAGGAACAAAUUGUAAACUUCUCCUCGUCCUUGCUCAGCACUCGUAAAACCAUAAUAACAUUGAAUAAUAUGGGGACAACCGACAAACUUUAGAAGGAUUUUUUUCCUUAGAAAAGAAGAGUAACCUUCGUUGACUGAUUUGACGGCAUAAAUCUGAUUAUAAAUAGGAGCUACGAUUUUCACUAAAUGCACUACUCCAGAAGUACCCUUUUCAAGAACCUUGAUCUUCAUUACUUUAAGCUCCAUUCAUUUUUCUUAGAACAAAUUAGGGUUUAGAGAACAAUCUAAGUAAUGAAGAUCAAGGUUCUGGGAAAGGGUACUUAUGGAGUAGUGUAUAGAAUUCCCAACUUUAUCACUUAGAAUUCCCAAUUUCCAAGAACAAUCUAAUAAUUCUUUUAUUAAUUAAUAAUUUUUUAUCACUUAGAUUGUUUAUUCAUGUAACAAUUUCCUAAUGGAAAAUAUGAAAUUUUAUUCCCUCUAAUUAAUAGAAAUUUUAUUAAUUUAAAACAAAACCGAUUAUUAUAACUUACAUUCUUUUACUAAAAAGCAUUUUAAUAAAAUUUUAGUAAUUCAAAAGUUGUUAACUUAUUGUUUCUGUCUAAAAAGUAGGGUUUUGAGAUUUAAUUGGCUCUGUAUUAUAACAAUAAGGUAUCAUAUUGCAUAUACUUUCACAUUUUCCUUUUACAAGGAACAUAAUGAAAUCUGGUUCAUAAUCUUUAGCCUUUUUAAUCAUUUUAUUUUCUCUUAAUUUUGGCAAGAUUCAUCAUUAUUAUCAACUUGUUCCAAUAUAAUAUCAUUCUCAUUUGAAGAAUGAAUCAAUUGUUGUGGCUAUAAUUGUCUUGAAAUAGAAUUAAAUCUAUUUUCAUAAAAAAUAGCAUUGAAGAAUGAAUCAAUUGUUGUGGCUAUAAUUGUCUUGGAAUAGAAUUAAAUCUAUUUUCAUAAAAAAUAGCAUCUCUUGAUUCAAUAACAGUAUUAAUUUAAAUUGAAUAUUUAGUUCAACUACCAUGAACCCAUAUGUUGGAACUUUGACAAUAGCUCUACAUCCUUAAACUUUCAAAUAAUUAAGCCUUGGUUUUCUUUUCUUCCAUUGUUCAUAGGGGGUUAUUUUAGUUUCUUUAUUAGAAACUCUAUUCAAUACAUGACAAGCCGUUAGAACAGCUUCUCCCCAAAGAUAUUGUCCAAGACCUGAAUAUAAUAACAUUGAAUUUAUCAUUUCAGUCAAAACUCUAUUUUUCUUUUCAGCUAAUUGUUUUGUUAUGGUGUGUAAGGGGUUGAAACUUGAUGGAUAAUCCCAGUGGAUUCAAAAUAGCUUGGAUUAUAAUAUUCUCCACCUCUAUCCAAUCUUAAGCACUUGAUAAAUGAUUCACACUGAAGUUCAACUUUAG
rnacentral:lncRNA from 1 species